rnacentral:rRNA from 1 species
CAGCAGCCACGGGAAUACGAAGGGUGCAAGCGUUACUCGGAAUUACUGGGCGUAAAGCGUGCGUAGGUGGUGGUUUAAGUCCGUUGUGAAAGCCCUGGGCUCAACCUGGGAAUUGCAGUGGAUACUGGGUCACUAGAGUGUGGUAGAGGAUAGUGGAAUUUCCGGUGUAGCAGUGAAAUGCGUAGAGAUCGGAAGGAACAUCAGUGGCGAAGGCGGCCAUCUGGGACAACACUGACGCUGAGGCACGAAAGCGUGGGGAGCAAACAGGAUUAGAUACCCCUGUAGUCCCUGUCUCUUAUAC